GGAGGGUUAGUCUAAUUGGUAAGGCAGCGGACUUGAAAUCCGCCGUCCCUUUCGGGACAUGGGGGUUCGAGUCCCUCACCCUCCG
rnacentral:tRNA from 1 species